CCCUAGCCUCGAUAGUAACGGUUACCCCGCAGUAAGGAAUGGAAAGGGGAGGGUUUGGUGUUGGACAGCGCCGGAACGAGGAGUAAAAGUGGAUAGCGAGAUCAAGC
rnacentral:misc_RNA from 1 species